rnacentral:rRNA from 1 species
AGUCGACGGAAUCCUUCGGGAUUUAGUGGCGGACGGGUGAGUAACACGUAAGAACCUGCCUCUAGGACGGGGACAACAGUUGGAAACGACUGCUAAACCCGGAUGAGCCGAAAGGUAAAAGAUUUAUCGCCUAGAGAGGGGCUUGCGUCUGAUUAGCUAGUUGGUAAGGUAAGAGCUUACCAAGGCGACGAUCAGUAGCUGGUCUGAGAGGAUGAUCAGCCACACUGGGACUGAGACACGGCCCAGACUCCUACGGGAGGCAGCAGUGGGGAAUUUUCCGCAAUGGGCGAAAGCCUGACGGAGCAAGACCGCGUGGGGGAGGAAGGUUCUUGGAUUGUCAACCCCUUUUCUCAGGGAAGAACUCAAUGACGGUACCUGAGGAAAAAGCAUCGGCUAACUCCGUGCCAGCAGCCGCGGUAAUACGGGGGAUGCAAGCGUUAUCCGGAAUGAUUGGGCGUAAAGAGUCCGUAGGUAGCCAAUCAAGUCUGCUGUUAAAGAGCGAGGCUUAACUUCGUAAAGGCAGUGGAAACUGGAAGGCUAGAGUGUAGUAGGGGCAGAGGGAAUUCCUGGUGUAGCGGUGAAAUGCGUAGAGAUCAGGAAGAACACCGGUGGCGAAGCGCUCUGCUGGGCUAUAACUGACACUGAGGGACGAAAGCUAGGGGAGCGAAUGGGAUUAGAUACUCCCAGUAGUCCUAGCGGUAAACGAUGGAAACUACGUGUGGUCUGUAUCGACCCGGGUCGUGCCGAAGCUAACGCGUUAAGUUUCCCGCCUGGGGAGUACGCACGCAAGUGUGAAACUCAA